AAGCCCCAAAAUUUGUGGCGGGUGGUAAAACUGUUUGACACAGCUUGAGCUUACUCUAGCAACAAAGUCUAACCUAUUCCAGCCCUCUGUCUUCCGUGGAACAAGCCGCUAUAUAGACCUAGUGUGA